GAUGAGCGCUGGCGGCGUGCCUAAUACAUGCAAGUCGAGCGAAUGGAUUAAGAGCUUGCUCUUAUGAAGUUAGCGGCGGACGGGUGAGUAACACGUGGGUAACCUGCCCAUAAGACUGGGAUAACUCCGGGAAACCGGGGCUAAUACCGGAUAACAUUUUGAACCGCAUGGUUCGAAAUUGAAAGGCGGCUUCGGCUGUCACUUAUGGAUGGACCCGCGUCGCAUUAGCUAGUUGGUGAGGUAACGGCUCACCAAGGCAACGAUGCGUAGCCGAACUGGGAGGGUGAUCGGCCACACUGGGACUGAGACACGGCCCAGACUCCUACGGGAGGCAGCAGUAGGGAAUCUUCCGCAAUGGACGAAAGUCUGACGGAGCAACGCCGCGUGAGUGAUGAAGGCUUUCGGGUCGUAAAACUCUGUUGUUAGGGAAGAACAAGUGCUAGUUGAAUAAGCUGGCACCUUGACGGUACCUAACCAGAAAGCCACGGCUAACUACGUGCCAGCAGCCGCCGCAG
rnacentral:rRNA from 1 species